CCCUUGUUCAGUGGUCCGUAUUCCUCAAUCCCAACCGGCGCCACACCCGGCAUGCUGCAGUCAUGCCUGAUGAACACAAAUCGGAUGGGAAUCGGAAUGAUCGGGCGACUGUGCAAAUGUCGGUCGUUAAGACACUUAUCCCGCAUCGGUGGCGGCCAUAUGGCGAAAUAUGAGAAAUUUCCACGUCACUUCCUCGUGUUCCACCACUCGUGUGCUGUCUCUUCGCUUCACAAAGGCUUCCUCCUUCUCAUUCCGGGUCACGCUGGAGGUUGGUGAUGCGGUGUUUUAGCGCUACAAGCUGGGAAAUCAGUCGAGCAACAAGGAAAAGUUCAAAGGAUGGAAAUUUUCACUUAUUACAAAUAUAGUAUACACUUACAUUAAAAUUCAGGAUAAUCAGCCUAACGCAUUUUGUAACUUAGUCACUUCAUCAGAGGCAAUAAUUUUCGUAUCAGGUUUGCUCCUUUUCUAAUUAGAAAAAGUGCCACUCAUUAGCUUUAGAAAUGUUGUAGAACUGCAUAUGCAUAAUAUAUAAUUCAUGAUUUGCCUCAUGCAGUACAUACACCGUUAUGUAUUACGUUGAGUAACUGCCAUAUGUAAAAUGAUGACUGCAUAAGUACAGUGCAUAUGUAUAUAAAUAUCUAUACACACCGA